GGGUGUUCCACAAGUACCUGGAGCUGCGGUCUGCUAUGAGGAAAGUUGCCGACAAAUGGUUUGUCAUUAUCCCAGUGUACCACGACUCUGAUGGGCCUGAAGAAGACGUCCAGACCUCGCUGCUGCCACCGACGUCCUGCUGCCCAGCUGUGGAUGACUAGGUCCUGCGAGUGCUGCAUUGAGGUGCUGCAGUCCUCUCUUAUGUUAGUGGAUGAGACUGGCAAGAGAUUGUAGGCGAAUAUGGGUCGAUUUGUGCUACUGCAAAACCCCGUUUGAGGUCUCGUGCUGAUGUGAUGUAUCCAUCAGUUUUGCAGCUACUAACUUGGACGAGUACUCGAAUUAUGUUUACCGACCCAAUGUAUAUGAAGUGGUUAUUUCAGCCCUGGAAGACCAAGUGAAGUGAUGGAAGAACUUUUCAUGGAGUUGUUAGGAUUAAAAUGUUGAGGAGAUCCGAAAGAAUUUCCCUUUCAAAAUCACCGACAAGAAGUGGCACAAUUCUGGUUUCCAUGCCGAUCCUAAUCACUAGAUGUUAGGCAGAGCAUGACCAGGACAAGGAUGAUGAUGAGAAAGACGAUGACCAGGAAGAUGGCGGGAAGGCCCCACAAAGUCCAGCAUUCUCCUCAAGAGUCACAAUCUCCAAGAAUGACGUCCCAAGCCUCGAGUUCACCUGCAUCGCCUACCUGACGAGAUCAUGAUCGACACCUUGUCCGUUAGGAAGCUGGUGGCGAACGACUUGGAGGCCGGAGAUGAUUGCAUACGAGGGUUCUGAUGUCAACAACCUCGACGAGAACCUGCAGAGUUCGUUCCAUAAGUACGUGGAGCUGCGGUCUGCUAUGGGGUAGUCUCUUGUGCUUAAUGUUGUGAUUUUGAAGUCACUGCUUAACAUGCAGUUGUUUUAUACAUGAUGUGCAGGAUAUCAUGGUGUAUAUUGUCGUUGUCAUGGAAAGAUUCAGAGUGGUAGCUAGAUGUGUGUUUUGUGUCGCGUUGGUCUAGGUUCAGGUGGGCAUGAGAAUUUGUUGGCGGUUAAUAUGCUUGUUCCAAAUCGUCAUAUUUCAUGAGCCUACCUCUA